UUGAUAAAGGAAAAAAUCG
rnacentral:snRNA from 1 species